CCAGUCACAGGACACUGAGACUCAGGGUGGCAGAUGUCAAGUCCUUCAUUGUUCAAUUUGAGCUCAGAGAAGUAAUAAAGGCAAAGCCCUUCAGGUUGAUGGAGGAAAAUUUGUUCUUUAUUGGAGAAGAUGUGAGGUGGAAGAGUUCACCUGUGGAUUCAGUGUGAAGACGGCAACAGAUAUCAAAGGAGAGGAAGC
rnacentral:lncRNA from 1 species